AUUGAACGCUGGCGGCAUGCUUUACACAUGCAAGUCGAACGGUAACAGGCCUUCGGGUGCUGACGAGUGGCGAACGGGUGAGUAAUGCAUCGGAACGUGCCCAGAGGUGGGGGAUAACGCAGCGAAAGCUGUGCUAAUACCGCAUGUGAUCUGAGGAUGAAAGCGGGGGACCAGGCAGCAAUGUUUGGCCUCGCGCCUUUGGAGCGGCCGAUGUCAGAUUAGGUAGUUGGUGGGGUAAAGGCCUACCAAGCCGACGAUCUGUAGCUGGUCUGAGAGGACGACCAGCCACACUGGGACUGAGACACGGCCCAGACUCCUACGGGAGGCAGCAGUGGGGAAUUUUGGACAAUGGGCGCAAGCCUGAUCCAGCAAUGCCGCGUGCGGGAAGAAGGCCUUCGGGUUGUAAACCGCUUUUGUACGGAACGAAAAGGCUCUGGCUAAUACCUGGGGCUGAUGACGGUACCGUAAGAAUAAGCACCGGCUAAC
rnacentral:rRNA from 1 species